rnacentral:hammerhead_ribozyme from 1 species
AUCCAUCUGACGAGUCCAAAAUAGGACGAAAUGCGCGUUGUCCUUGAU